UACGGGGGGGGCAAGCGUUGUUCGGAAUUACUGGGCGUAAAGGGCUCGUAGGUGGCCAACUAAGUCAGACGUGAAAUCCCUCAGCUUAACUGGGGAACUGCGUCUGAUACUGGAUGCUUGAGUUUGGGAGAGGGAUGCGGAAGUUCCAGGUGUAGCGGUGAAAUGCGUAGAUAUCUGGAGGAACACCGGUGGCGAAGGCGGCAUCCUGGACCAAUACUGACACUGAGGAGCGAAAGCCAGGGGAGCAAACGGG
rnacentral:rRNA from 1 species